AUGGAUAUCUUUGUCAGGAGGCUUAAGGAAUUAAAUGUCGUCAUCACUGACAUCUAGUGGAGAAACAUCUUGUGCCUAACAAUGUGUUAAUUAUUUUUUCAUUGUGAAAAAAUAAUUUCAUUAGAAAGACUGUAUGAAUAUCCAUUGCCAGUGAUUCCUCCAACCAUGGAUAUAUCAAAGCAUUUUAAAUUGUCUGUUGUUGCACAGUUAAAAUAUUACCCACCUUGUGCUGCUUGAUUGCAAGAUAGCAAUGAAACAUCACAACGUGUGUUGGAGCAUUUAGGAUCUGAACUACAAGAAAAUGUCUUCAGCUUUGAAAAUGUAUAUUUGCUGCUGAAGGUGCCAACUUUGCC